AGAGUUUGAGUUAUGGCUCAGGACGAACGCUGGCGGCGUGCCUAACACAUGCAAGUCGAGCGAGGAGAGUCCUUCGGGAUGAUCCUAGCGGCGGACGGGUGAGUAACACGUGGGCAACCUGCCUCAUAGAGAGGAAUAGCCUUCCGAAAGGGAGAUUAAUACCUCAUAACAUUGCAGUUUCGCAUGGAACAGCAAUUAAACGGAGUAAUCCGCUAUGAGAUGGGCCCGCGGCGCAUUAGCUAGUUGGUGAGGUAACGGCUCACCAAGGCGACGAUGCGUAGCCGACCUGAGAGGGUGAUCGGCCACAUUGGGACUGAGACACGGCCCAGACUCCUACGGGAGGCAGCAGUGGGGAAUAUUGCACAAUGGGGGAAACCCUGAUGCCAGCAACGCCGCGUGAGUGAUGACGGCCUUCGGGUUGUAAAGCUCUGUCUUCAGGGACGAUAAUGACGGUACCUGAGGAGGAAGCCACGGCUAACUACGUGCCAGCCGCCGC
rnacentral:rRNA from 1 species